rnacentral:rRNA from 1 species
AUGCGCGUGGGAAAUGGUUCCAAAGUCGAUGUGAUCGCGGUCGGCACGCUACCUCUACAUCUACCUUCGGGAUUAGUUUUAGACCUAAAUAAUUGUUAUUUGGUGCCAGCGUUAAGCAUGAACAUUAUAUCUGGAUCUUGUUUGAUGCGAGACGGUUAUUCAUUUAAAUCAGAGAAUAAUGGUUGUUCUAUUUAUAUGAGUAAUAUCUUUUAUGGUCAUGCACCCUUGAAGAGUGGUCUAUUUUUGUUGAAUCUCGAUAGUAGUGAUACACAUAUUCAUAAUAUUGAAGUCAAAAGAUGCAGAGUUGAUAAUGAUAGUGCAACUUAUUUGUGGCACUGCCAUUUAGGUCAUAUCGGUGUAAAGCGCAUGAAGAAACUCCAUACUGAUGGACUUUUGGAACCACUUGAUUAUGAAUCACUUGGUACUUGCGAACCGUGCCUCAUGGGCAAGAUGACUAAAACGCCAUUCUCCGGAACUAUGGAGAGAGCAACAGAUUUGUUGGAAAUCAUACAAACAGAUGUAUGUGGUCCGAUGAAUAUUGAGGCUCGUGGCGGAUAUCAUUAUUUUCUCACCUUCACAGAUGAUUUGAGCAGAUAUGGGUAUAUCUACUUAAUGAAACAUAAGUCUGAAACAUUUGAAAAGUUCAAAGAAUUUCAGAGUGAAGUUGAAAAUCAUCGUAACAAGAAAAUAAAGUUUCUACGAUCUGAUCGUGGAGGAGAAUAUUUGAGUUAUGAGUUUGGUCUUCAUUUGAAACAAUGCGGAAUAGUUUCGCAACUCACGCCACCCGGAACACCACAGUGUAAUAGUGUGUCCGAACGUCGUAAUCGUACUCUACUAGAUAUGGUGCGAUCUAUGAUGUCCCUUACUGAUUUACCGCUAUUGUUUUGGGGUUAUGCUUUAGAGACGGCCGCAUUCACGUUAAAUAGGGCACCAUCAAAAUCCGUUGAGACGACGCCUUAUGAACUGUGGUUUGGCAAGAAACCAAAGUUGUCGUUUCUUAAAGUUUGGGGCUGCGAUGCUUAUGUGAAAAAGCUUCAACCUGAUAAGUUCGAACCCAAAUCGGAGAAAUGUGUCUUCAUAGGAUACCCAAAGGAAACUGUUGGGUACACCUUCUAUCACAGAUCCGAAGGCAAAACUUUUGUUGCUAAAUUCAAAUUUUUUCUGGAGAAGGAGUUUCUCUCGAAAGAAGUGAGUGGGAGGAAAGUAGAACUUGAUGAGGUAACUGUACCUACUCCCUUAUUGGAAAGUAGUUCAUCGCAGAAACCGGUUUCUGCGACACCUACACCAAUUAGUGAGGAAGUUAAUGAUGAUGAUCAUGAAACUUCAGAUCAAGUUAUUACUGAACCUCGUAGGUCAACCAGAGUAAGAUCCGCACCAGAGUGGUAUGGUAAUCCUAUUCUGGAAGUUAUGUUACUGGACCAUGACGAACCUACGAACUAUGAAGAAGCGAUGGUGAGCCCAGAUUUCGGGAAAUGGCUUAAGGCCAUGAAAUCUGAGAUGGGAUCCAUGUAUGAGAACAAAGUGUGGACUUUGGUUGACUUGCCCGAUGAUCGGCAAGCAAUUGAGAAUAAAUGGAUCUUCAAGAAGAAGACUGACGCUGACGGUAAUGUUAGUGUCUAUAAAGCUCGACUUGUUGCAAAAGGUUUUCGACAAGUUCAAGGGAUUGACUACGAUGAGACCUUCUCACCCGUAGUGAUGCUUAAGUCUGUCCGAAUCAUGUUAGCAAUUGUCGCAUUUUAUAAUUAUGAAAUUUGGCAAAUGGAUGUAAAAACUGCAUUCCUGAAUGGAUUUCUGGAAGAAGAGUUGUAUAUGAUGCAACCGGAAGGUUUUGUUGAUCCAAAGGGAGCUAAUAAAGUGUGCAAGCUCCAGCAAUCCAUUUAUGGACUGGUGCAAGCCUCUCGGAGUUGGAAUAAACGCUUUGAUAGUGUGAUCAAAGCAUUUGGUUUUGUACAGACUUUUGGAGAAGCCUGUAUUUACAAGAAAGUGAGUGGGAGCUCUGUAGCAUUUCUGAUAUUAUAUGUGGAUGACAUAUUGCUGAUUGGAAAUGAUAUAGAAUUUCUGGAUAGCAUAAAGGGAUACUUGAAUAAGAGUUUUUCAAUGAAAGACCUCGGUGAAGCUGCGUAUAUAUAUUGGGCAUCAAGAUCUAUAGAGAUAGAUCAAGACGCUUAA